rnacentral:tRNA from 1 species
AGAAUUCUAGUUAAACUAUAUAACAUAGGACUGUCAGCCCUAAAUUACUAAAAUAGUGAAUUCUG